UGAACGCUGGCGGCGUGCCUAAUACAUGCAAGUCGAGCGAACAGACGAGGAGCUUGCUCCUCUGACGUUAGCGGCGGACGGGUGAGUAACACGUGGAUAACCUACCUAUAAGACUGGGAUAACUUCGGGAAACCGGAGCUAAUACCGGAUAAUAUAUUGAACCGCAUGGUUCAAUAGUGAAAGACGGUUUUGCUGUCACUUAUAGAUGGAUCCGCGCCGCAUUAGCUAGUUGGUAAGGUAACGGCUUACCAAGGCAACGAUGCGUAGCCGACCUGAGAGGGUGAUCGGCCACACUGGAACUGAGACACGGUCCAGACUCCUACGGGAGGCAGCAGUAGGGAAUCUUCCGCAAUGGGCGAAAGCCUGACGGAGCAACGCCGCGUGAGUGAUGAAGGUCUUCGGAUCGUAAAACUCUGUUAUUAGGGAAGAACAAAUGUGUAAGUAACUAUGCACGUCUUGACGGUACCGAAUCAGAAAGCCACGGCUAACUACGU
rnacentral:rRNA from 1 species